GGGGGUGACUAGUGACAGAAGGAGGGAGGGAGUAGUGACAGAAGGAGGGAGGGAGUAGUGACAGAAGGAGGGAGGUGGUGACUGGUGACAGUCACCACCUCCCUCACUCUGUCACUAAUAACCCUUUCCUUUCCUCACUCUGCCACCAGUCACCCCCUCCUUCACUCUGUCACUGUGUCACCCCCUCCCUCACUCUGUCACCGUGUCACCCCC